rnacentral:tRNA from 1 species
CUUUUAAAGGAUAGUAGCCAUCCGCUGGCUUUAGGCGCC